AUACAUUUUGUUGAUUUAAUAAAGCACUAGCUCGUGCAAUUUACCAAACAUGCAAAAGCCUUUAUUCGAUUAGGUAGGUAUUCAUGUUCCUAUUCAGUUAGUUUUAGCUUGAUGAUUAGGAAUUCUCAAGACCCCGAUGAAUGAUUUUCCAUGGAGUUCACGAGACAGAUAUCCCUUAAAAUAGUCUGAAACACUCAUUCUUUUAAAUACCGGUGGAGUUUCAGGGGUAAUAAGGCUGGCUGCAGCACGCAACUCUCCAUCCAAUUUUGGGUUGUGGAAUGUGGCUAUGGAAAGCCUCUCUUUAGUCGAGCUAAUUGUUGCCCUAUGCUCAAUGCUACGGUAAAUUCCAUUGGUCACAAUCUCCAGCAUGUCUCCAAUGUUGAUGAUAAAUGCAUUGGGAAUUGGCUUGACCGGAAUCCACAUCCCAUCUUUCUUUAUCUGAAGCCCUUCCACAUCGUUGAGCUGGAGGAGGAUGGUGAGGCCAGUUGCAUCAGAAUGGGGCUUCAGGCCGAUAACAAGGUCUGGUUCUGGACAUGGGGGAUAGUAGUUCAUUCUCAUCGCCUGCCACCCUUCUUCAGCUAAAUCUUUCAAUUCAUCAGGCUCAAUUCCUAGAGUUUUUGCCACCAGGUUAAAGAUUUUCUUGGCAAUACUUUGCAGUUCUUCCGAGUAUGCUUCAAGGGCAUCCCUGAAUGAGGGAGGGAAAUUGGAGAAUAAGUGAGGUUUUCGCAAAUGAGUUGGAAGAGUAACCACGUAGAAGAGGUCUGCCCAUUCAAGCUUCUGCUCUUCAGACGUGACAAAGUGCUGUCCAAAUCCUUCUAUUUCUCCUGGUUUUUGCCAAAAUUUCAUCUUCUCUUCCAUUGGAAGAUUGAAGAAUUCUUCAGUCUGCAACUUCACUUUCUCCAAUAUCUCAG
rnacentral:misc_RNA from 1 species